UAGCAGCACAAAAAUAUUGGGAGUUAUUCUUAGUCAAGUGCCUCCAAUAUUGACUGUGCUGCUGAA
rnacentral:pre_miRNA from 1 species